rnacentral:tRNA from 1 species
GCCUUCGUACUGUAGAAGUCAGCAUGCUGGGCGCGUAUUCCAGAAGUCCGUGGUUCGAGUCCCGGCAAAGGCA